AGACAGUUAACUAAAAGGUAAAGCGCUGCACAAUUGUGCGGAACUGUGGGUUCGAAUCCCGCACUGUUUC
rnacentral:tRNA from 1 species